AUUGAACGCUGGCGGCAGGCCUAACACAUGCAAGUCGAGCGAGCGGCGGACGGGUGAGUAAUGUAUGGGGACUGCCCGAUAGAGGGGGAUAACUUCUGGAAACGGUGGCUAAUACCGAAUACUAUCGGAUAACCCAUAUGUGAUUAGCUAGUAGGUGGGGUAAAGGCUCACCUAGGCUACGAUCUCUCGCUGGUCUGAGAGGAUGAUCAGCCAAGCUGGGACUGCAAUACGUCCCAGAGUCCUACGGAGGCAGAAGUGGGGAAUAUUGCACAAUGGGCGCAAGCCUGAUGCAGCCAUGCCGCGUGUAUGAAGAAGGCCGUAGGGUUGUAAAGUACUUUCAGCGGGGAGGCGUUACCCUCAGAAGAAGCACCGGCUAACUCCGUGACAGCAGCCGCGGUAAUUC
rnacentral:rRNA from 1 species